rnacentral:rRNA from 1 species
UACGUAGGGUCCGAGCGUUGUCCGGAAUUAUUGGGCGUAAAGGGCUCGUAGGCGGUUUGUCGCGUCGGGAGUGAAAACACGGGGCUUAACCCCGUGCCUGCUUCCGAUACGGGCAGACUAGAGGUAUGCAGGGGAGAACGGAAUUCCUGGUGUAGCGGUGAAAUGCGCAGAUAUCAGGAGGAACACCGGUGGCGGAAGGCGGCCCCCUGGACCGGUACUGACGCUGAGGCGCGAAAGCGUGGGGAGCAA